GCGGGGUGUAGUUCAAUGGUAAAACUUUAGCCUUCCAAGCUGGUAGCGUGGGUUUGAUUCCCAUCACCCGCU
rnacentral:tRNA from 1 species